CUGACUUAUACUCAAUGCACAAAACAUUAGGAACACCUUCCUAACAUUGAGUUGAAUCCCCCCCUUUUGCCCUCAGAACAGCCUCCAUUCAUCAGGACAUGGACUCUACAAGGUGUCGAAAGCGUUCCACAGGGAUGCUGGCCCAUGUUGACUCCAAUGCUUCCCACAGUUGUGUCAAGUUGGCUGGAUGUACUUUGGGUGGUGGACCUAUCUUGAUACACACGGGAAACUGUUGAGCGUGGAAAAACCCAGCAGCGUUGCAGUUCUUGACAAACCGGUGCGCCUGGCAUCUACUACCAUACCCCGUUCAAAGGCACUUAAAUAUUUAGUCUUGCCCACUCACCCUCUGAAUGGCACACAUACACAAUCCAUGUCUCAAUUGUCUCAAGGCUUAAAAAUCCUCCUUUAACCCGUCUCCUCCCCUUCAUCUACACUGAUUGAAGUGGAUUUAACAAGUGACCUCAAUAAGGGAUCAAAUCUUUCACCUGGGUUCAGUCUAUGUCAUGGAAAGAGCAGGUGUUCCUAAUGUUUUGUCCACUCAGUGUAGGUUUGUAAUGUAUAAAUAUUUACCGUAUACAGGUAUGUAUACUGACCGUACAUCUCCUACGUACACACAUAAUUAAACAUGAAUACUUUGUACAUAUAUAUUUAUAUAGACAUAUACAUGUACAUUCAAUGUAUAAAAGGUAACACACACCAACGUACAGUACACACUCGCUCUUCAUCAUCAUCAUCAUUCACACAAUACGACUCUGUGAGUCUAUCUUCCUUAUAUGCACACACACACACACACACACGCACACGCACACACACACAUAUACACACACACACACACCGAAAAAGAGUUGGGCUCCUAUUCAAAAACAGUGUCCAGAUUGCAAUUUGGACACUUUUCAAUGAACUGCCAAUGUGUUUUUCCAUUAAAGCUGUGGAAGAAUCUCACAUUUUUUGGGAUAAGAUGGGAGAGGAAAAGGCAUGUGGUUUGUGUCCCCAAUGGUAGCCUACUCCCUGUGUAGUGCUAUAGGGCCCCUUUGGGCCCCUGGUCAAAAGUAUAUAGGGAAUAGGCUGCCAACAGGGUUCAAUUACAGUGCCAAUAGGAUGCCGACAGGAUUCAAUUACAGUGCCAAUAGGCUGCCAAUAGGGUUCAAUUACAGUGCCAAUAGGCUGCCAAUAGGGUUCAAUUACAGUGCCAAUAGGCUGCCAACAGGGUUCAAUUACAGUGCCAAUAGGCUGCCAAUAGGGACGCAAGUCAUGGCGUUCAUUCGCUGCAAUGUCUCAUCUUCUCCUCGCAGCUCGGCGGUUCAUUUGCAUAAUAUAUUCAGGGUUCUAUUUUUUAUUUGUUUUGCUAAAUAGCAUUUCCUUUUUAUUAUAAAGCAGAAACCCUGUAAAGAGAAAGUGGUGUCUCUACAACACCACAGUCAGAGAGUCGUCGUCUCACCAGUCUGAUCUGUCACUGCAGUCAGAGAGUCGUCGUCUCACCGAGAGUCGUCGUCUCACCAGUCUGAUCUGUCACUGCAGUCAGAGAGUCGUCGUCUCACCAGUCUGAUCUGUCACUGCAGUCAGAGAGUCGUCGUCUCACCGAGAGUCGUCGUCUCACCAGUCUGAUCUGUCACUGCAGUCAGAGAGUCGUCGUCUCACCAGUCUGAUCUGUCACCGCAGUCAGAGAGUCGUCUCACCAGUCUGAUCUGUCACCGCAGUCAGAGAGUCGUCUCACCAGUCUGAUCUGUCACCGCAGUCAGAGAGUCGUCUCACCAGUCUGAUCUGUCACCACAGUCAGAGAGUCGUCUCACCAGUCUGAUCUGUCACCACAGCCAGAGUCGUCGUCUCACCAGUCUGAUCUGUCACCGCAGUCAGAGAGUCGUCUCACCAGUCUGAUCUGUCACCGCAGUCAGAGAGUCGUCUCACCAGUCUGAUCUGUCACCACAGCCAGAGAGUCGUCUCACCAGUCUGAUCUGUCACCGCAGUCAGAGAGUCGUCUCACCAGUCUGAUCUGUCACCGCAGUCGGAGAGUUGUCUCACCAGUCUGAUCUGUCACCGCAGUCAGAGAGUCGUCUCACCAGUCUGAUCUGACACCGCAGUCAGAGAGUCGUCGUCUCACCAGUCUGAUCUGACACCGCAGUCAGAGAGUCGUCUCACCAGUCUGAUCUGACACCGCAGUCAGAGAGUCGUCGUCUCACCAGUCUGAUCUGACACCGCAGUCGGAGAGUCGUCUCACCAGUCUGAUCUGUCACCGCAGUCAGAGAGUCGUCUCACCAGUCUGAUCUGUCACCGCAGUCGGAGAGUUGUCUCACCAGUCUGAUCUGUCACCGCAGUCAGAGAGUCGUCUCACCAGUCUGAUCUGACACCGCAGUCAGAGAGUCGUCGUCUCACCAGUCUGAUCUGACACCGCAGUCAGAGAGUCGUCUCACCAGUCUGAUCUGACACCGCAGUCAGAGAGUCGUCGUCUCACCAGUCUGAUCUGACACCGCAGUCGGAGAGUCGUCUCACCAGUCUGAUCUGUCACCGCAGUCAGAGAGUCGUCUCACCAGUCUGAUCUGUCACCACAGCCAGAGAGUCGUCUCACCAGUCUGAUCUGACACCGCAGUCAGAGAGUCGUCGUCUCACCAGUCUGAUCUGUCACCGCAGUCAGAGAGUCGUCUCACCAGUCUGAUCUGUCACCGCAGUCAGAGAGUCGUCGUCUCACCAGUCUGAUCUGUCACCGCAGUCGGAGAGUCGUCUCACCAGUCUGAUCUGACACCGCAGUCGGAGAGUCGUCUCACCAGUCUGAUCUGUCACCGCUGCAUGUGCUUCUAUAGACAGGGUUGUUGACAUCAAGCUUUAGAGCGCAGGUCAAGGGGUCAGAAAACAAACAUCCCAGCUUAAUGAACAGGUACAGCCAUAAUCAAGGCACAAAGAUCUACAAGUAUAUUUGUUUUUCAUUCAAUAAAGUAGUUGUACAAAAUAAUAUUACAUUUGACAGUCUGUACAGGAUAAAUCAAGAAGCC
rnacentral:lncRNA from 1 species